rnacentral:rRNA from 1 species
UACACACCGCCCGUCACACCAUGGAAGUCGGUUGCUCCAGAAGUGGCUGUGCUAACCGCAAGGAGGCAGGUCCCUAAGGAGUGGCCGGUAACUGGGUG